rnacentral:rRNA from 1 species
CUCACCAGGUCAGGACACGGUAAGGAUUGACGGACUGAAGGCUCUUUCUCGAUUCCGUGGAAAGUGGUGCAUGGCCGUUUUUGGUUGGUGGAUCGAUCCGUCUGGUUAAUUCCGUUAACGAACGAGACCUCGGCACUCCGAAUAGCGCGGCGGACGUCGCGGCCUCCGGGCCGUCUUCCGCACGAGCUUCUUAGAGGGACCGUCCCCCGCCGGGGAAGGAGGUGCGAGGCAACGACAGGUCUGUGAUGCCCUUAGAUGUUCUGGGGCCGCACGCGCAUUACACUGACGCGUCCAACGGGUGACUCCCGACCCGAAGGGGCCGGGGAAUCCGCAAGGCGCGUCGUGAUGGGGAUUGAACGUUGCAAUUGUUGUUCACGAACGAGGAAUUCCUAGUAGGCGCGGGUCAUCAACCCGCGCCGAUUACGUCCCUGCCCUUUGUACAC